CUCCAGACUCCUACGGGAGGCAGCAGUAGGGAAUUUUCGGCAAUGGGGGGAACCCUGACCGAGCAACGCCGCGUGAACGAAGAAGUUAUUCGUAAUGUAAAGUUCUUUUAUCAGGGAAGAAAGAGGAAUUUGACGGUACCUGAGGAAUAAGCUCCGGCUAACUACGUGCCAGCAGCCGCGGUAAUACAGAGGGUGCGAGCGUUAAUCGGAAUUACUGGGCGUAAAGCGCUCGUAGGCGGUAUGUCAAGUCAAGGGUGAAAUCCCCGCGCUCAACGUGGGAACUGCCUUUGAAACUGGCAAACUGGAGUGUGUGAGAGGAUAGUGGAAUUCCAGGUGUAGGAGUGAAAUCCGUAGAUAUCUGGAGGAACAUCAGUGGCGAAGGCGACUAUCUGGCACAUAACUGACGCUGAGGAGCGAAAGCGUGGGUAGCAAACAGGAUUAGAUACCCGUGUA
rnacentral:rRNA from 1 species